GACGAACCGUGCGAACGUUAUUCGGAAUCAUUGGGCUUAAAGCGCGUGUAGGCGGAUGGGAACGUCGGUGUUGAAAGCCCCCGGCUCAACCGGGGAAUUGGCGCCGAAACGACCCGUCUGGAGGGGCAUAGGGGGAGCUGGAACUUCCGGUGGAGCGGUGAAAUGCGUUGAGAUCGGAAGGAACGCCCGUGGCGAAAGCGAGCUCCUGGAUGUCUUCUGACGCUGAGACGCGAAAGCUAGGGUAGCGAACGGG
rnacentral:rRNA from 1 species